CCUACGGGGCGCAGCAGUGAGGAAUAUUGGUCAAUGGCCGGAAGGCUGAACCAGCCAAGUCGCGUGAGGGAAUAAGGCCCUAUGGGUCGUAAACCUCUUUUGUCAGGGAGCAAAGGCGUCCACGAGUGGACGAAAGGAGAGUACCUGAAGAAAAAGCAUCGGCUAACUCCGUGCCAGCAGCCGCGGUAAUACGUAGGUGGCAAGCGUUAUCCGGAUUUAUUGGGCGUAAAGGGAACGCAGGCGGUCUUUUAAGUCUGAUGUGAAAGCCUUCGGCUUAACCGGAGUAGUGCAUUGGAAACUGGGAG
rnacentral:rRNA from 1 species